CACGUAGGCACCAAGCGUUGUCCGGAUUUAUUGGGCGUAAAGAGCUCGUAGGCGGUUCAGUAAGUCAGGUGUGAAAUCUUUGGGCUUAACCCAAAGCGUGCACUUGAUACUGCUGUGACUUGAGUUCGGUAGGGGAGUGCGGAAUUCCUGGUGUAGCGGUGAAAUGCGCAGAUAUCAGGAGGAACACCGGUGGCGAAGGCGGCACUCUGGGCCGGUACUGACGCUGAGGGAGCGAAAGCGUGGGGAGCGAACAGG
rnacentral:rRNA from 1 species